GACGAACGCUGGCGGCGUGCUUAACACAUGCAAGUCGAGCGGUAAGGCCCUUCGGGGUACACGAGCGGCGAACGGGUGAGUAACACGUGAGCAAUCUGCCCUCCACAUCGGGAUAACCCCCGGAAACGGGAGCUAAUACCGGAUGCGACCACUUCAGGCAUCUGAUGGUGGUGGAAAGUUCCGGCGGUGGAGGAUGAGCUCGCGGCCUAUCAGCUUGUUGGUGGGGUAACGGCCCACCAAGGCUUCGACGGGUAGCCGGCCUGAGAGGGUGACCGGCCACACUGGGACUGAUACACGGCCCAGACUCCUACGGGAGGCAGCAGUGGGGAAUAUUGGACAAUGGGCGAAAGCCUGAUCCAGCUACGCCACGUGAGGGAUGACAGCCUUCCGGUUGUAAACCUCUUUCAGCGCAGACGAAGCGAAUGUGACGGUAUGCGCAGAAUAAGCACCGGCCAACUACAUGCCAGCUACCGCGGUAAUACGCAAGGUGCGAGCGUUGUCCGGAAUUAUUGGGCGUAAAGGGCUCGUAGGCGGUCUGUUGCGUCAGGAGUGAAACUCGGGGCUUAACCCCGAGCCUGCUUCUGAUACGGGCAGACUAGAGGUAUGCAGGGGAGAACGGAAUUCCUGGUGUAGCGGUGAAAUGCGCAGAUAUCAGGAGGAACACCGGUGGCGAAGGCGGUUCUCUGGGCAUUACCUGACGCUGAGGAGCGAAAGUGUGGGGAGCGAACAGGAUUAGAUACCCUGGUAGUCCACACCGUAAACGUUGGGCGCUAGGUGUGGGACUCAUUCCACGAGUUCCGUGCCGCAGCUAACGCAUUAAGCGCCCCGCCUGGGGAGUACGGCCGCAAGGCUAAAACUCAAAGGAAUUGACGGGGGCCCGCACAAGCGGCGGAGCAUGCGGAUUAAUUCGAUGCAACGCGAAGAACCUUACCUAGGUUUGACAUAUACGAGAAGCCUCUGGAGACAGAGGUCUCUUUGGACACUUGUAUACAGGUGGUGCAUGGCUGCCGUCAGCUCGUGUCGUGAGAUGUUGGGUUAAGUCCCGCAACGAGCGCAACCCUCGUCUUAUGUUGCCAGCACGUCAUGGUGGGGACUCAUAAGAGACUGCCGGGGUCAACUCGGAGGAAGGUGGGGAUGACGUCAAGUCAUCAUGCCCCUUAUGCCUAGGGCUUCACGCAUGCUACAAUGGCCGGUACAAAGGGCUGCGAUACCGCAAGGUGGAGCGAAUCCCAAAAAGCCGGUCUCAGUUCGGAUUGGGGUCUGCAACUCGACCCCAUGAAGUCGGAGUCGCUAGUAAUCGCAGAUCAGCAACGCUGCGGUGAAUACGUUCCCGGGCCU
rnacentral:rRNA from 1 species